rnacentral:rRNA from 1 species
GAUGAACGCUGGCGGCGUGCCUAACACAUUCAAGUCGAACGGAGUUGUUUAAAUUAAUCUUUCGGGAAGCGUUUAAACAACUUAGUGGCGGACGGGUGAGUAACGCGUGAGCAACCUGCCUUACAGAGGGGGAUAACACAGGGAAACUUGUGCUAAUACCGCAUGACAUAUACUUAUCGCAUGUUAAGUAUAUCAAAGGAGCAAUCCGCUGUAAGAUGGGCUCGCGUCCGAUUAGGUAGUUGGUGAGGUAACGGCUCACCAAGCCUACGAUCGGUAGCCGGACUGAGAGGUCGAACGGCCACAUUGGAACUGAGAAACGGUCCAGACUCCUACGGGAGGCAGCAGUGGGGAAUAUUGGGCAAUGGGCGCAAGCCUGACCCAGCGACGCCGCGUGAGGGAAGAAGGUUUUCGGAUUGUAAACCUCUGUCCUCUGUGAAGAUAAUGACGGUAACAGAGGAGGAAGCUCCGGCUAACUACGUG